CUUAUGAAUCUAACCCCUAUACUUGUAUAGGCGAUUAAUAAAUCUUCUGUAAAUGCUGUAAGAGGAUUACCCCUUGAGGUUUCAGCACUAGGCUGCUCUAGCGAUUAAUCAAUGCAUUUGUAUG
rnacentral:ncRNA from 1 species